UAGUUCAGUCGGUAAAGAAUCUGCCUGCAAUGCAGGAGACCCAGGUUCGAUUCCUGG
rnacentral:tRNA from 1 species